AUCCUGGCAAUGGAAAUCUAGGGUUUUUUCUGGGUUUACGAGAACUGAACUGAAGUGGAAAAUGUUAUUUGCUUUAACGAAAUAAUUUAGUCUUGUGCAACAUAAAAUUCUGUCAGUCAAGCAAAUAAAGGAAGAAAGCCUUAUUUAUAAAAUUGCCUGCUUCCGAUUUCAUUUCACUGCGUCUCAGGCUUCAGGAGGAAAAAAGAAUGAAGAUUUUCUUGCUUGGUAUUUUUCUAAUUUUUUAUAGUACCUCAGCCCGGGCCAAAGAUAAGCAUUAUUACAUUGGAAUUAUUGAGACAACUUGGAACUACGCCUCUGACAAUGGAGAAAAGAAGCUUAUUUCAGUUGACAAGGAACAUUCUGAUAUCUAUCUUCAAAAUGGCCCCAACAGAAUUGGAAGAGUCUACAAGAAGGCCCUUUAUCUUCAGUACACAGAUGAAACCUUUGAAAUGAUUAUAGAAAAACCUGUCUGGCUGGGGUUUUUAGGUCCUAUUAUCAAAGCUGAAACGGGAGAUAAAGUUUAUGUACAUUUAAAAAACUUCGCCUCUAGACCCUAUACAUUUCAUGCACAUGGAAUGACUUACUAUAAGGAACAUGAGGGGGCCGUCUACCCUGAUAACACCACAGAUUUUCAAAAAGCAGGCAACAAAGUGCAGCCAGGUGAGCAGCAUACAUACAUAUUGCAUGCCGACCCAGAACAAGGUCCCGGGGAGGAAGACAGCAAUUGUGUGACCAGGAUUUAUCAUUCCCACAUUGAUGCUCCAAGAGAUAUCGCCUCAGGACUAAUUGGACCUUUAAUACACUGUAAAAAAGAUUCUCUGGAUCAAGAAAAAGAAAAAAAUAUUGAUCAAGAAUUUGUGGUGAUGUUUUCUGUGGCGGAUGAAAAUUUCAGCUGGUACCUAGAAGACAACAUUAAAACCUACUGCUCUGAACCAGAAAAAGUUGACAAAGACAAUGAAGACUUCCAGGAGAGUAACAGAAUGUAUUCUGUGAAUGGUUACGCUUUUGGAAGUCUCCCAGGGCUCUCCAUGUGUGCUGGGGACAGAGUAAAAUGGUACCUUUUUGGUAUGGGUAAUGAAAUUGACGUGCAUGCAGCUUUCUUCCACGGGCAAGUGUUGACGAGUAAGAACUUCCGUAUCGACACAGUCAAUCUCUUUCCUGCUACCCUCUUUGAUGCUUUAAUGGUGGCCCAGAACCCUGGAGAAUGGAUGCUUAGCUGUCAGAAUCUAAACCAUCUGAAAGCUGGUUUGCAGGCCUUUUUCUCAGUACAAGACUGUAAGAAGCCCUCAUCUGAGGAUGACAUCCGUGGCAAACAUGUCAGACACUACUACAUUGCUGCGGAGGAAAUCAUCUGGAACUACGCACCCUCCGGCAUAGACAACUUCACCAAAGAAAGCCUAACAGCACCUGAAAGUGCUUCAGAGGUAUUUUUUGAACGUGGUUCUACAAGAAUUGGAGGCUCAUAUAAAAAGCUCGUUUAUCGUGAGUAUACAGAUGCCUCCUUCACAAAUCAAAAGGAGAGAGGCCCUGAGGAGGAACAUCUUGGCAUUCUGGGUCCUGUCAUUUGGGCAGAGGUGGAAGACACCGUCAGAGUCACCUUCCAUAACAAAGGAGCCCAUCCCCUCAGUAUUGAGCCGAUUGGGGUGAGAGUCAGCAAGAGCAACGAGGGCACACAUUACAGCUCCUCCAGUGGAAGUGUGCCCUCUUCUUCAGCCUCCCAUGUGGCACCCAAAGAAACAUUCGUCUAUGAAUGGACUGUCCCCGAAGAAGUGGGACCCACUUACAAAGAUCCUGUCUGUCUAGCUAAGAUGUACUAUUCUGCUGUGGAUCCCACCAAAGAUAUAUUUACUGGGCUGAUCGGGCCAAUGAAAAUAUGCAGGAAAGGAAGUUUACUUCCAAAUGGGAAACAGAAAGAUGUAGACAAGGAGUUCUAUUUGUUCCCCACAGUGUUUGAUGAGAAUGAGAGUUUACUCCUGGAUGAGAAUAUCAGAAUGUUUACAACAGAACCUGAUCAGGUGGAUAAGGAGAAUGAAGACUUUCAGGAGUCAAAUAAGAUGCACUCCAUGAAUGGAUUCAUGUACGGGAAUCAGCCUGGUCUCAAUAUGUGCCAAGGAGAUUCAGUCGUGUGGUAUUUAUUCAGCGCUGGAAAUGAGGCCGAUGUACACGGGAUCUACUUUUCAGGAAACACUUACCUGUCAAGAGACGGGAGGAGAGACACAGCCAACCUCUUCCCUCAAACGAGCCUUACACUCCUCAUGCAGCCUGACACUGAAGGGACUUUUGAUAUUGAGUGCCUCACGACUGAUCACUACACAGGCGGCAUGAAGCAAAAAUACACGGUGAACCAGUGCCGACGGCCGUCUAAGAGUUCAUACCUCUACCUGGGGAAGAGGACCUACUACAUUGCGGCGGUGGAGGUGGAAUGGGAUUAUUCCCCAAGCAGGGAAUGGGAAAAGGAGCUGCACCAUUUACAAGAACUGAAUGUUCCAAAUGCAUUUUUAGAUAAGGAUGAAUACUACAUAGGCUCCAAGUACAAGAAAGCCGUGUAUCGGCAGUACACUGACAGCACAUUCAGCGUUCCAGUGGCGAGGAAAGCGGAAGAGGAACAUCUGGGAAUUCUAGGUCCUCAGCUUCAUGCAGAUGUUGGAGACAAAGUCAAUAUUAUCUUUAAAAACAUGGCCACAAGGCCCUACUCAAUACAUGCCCAUGGGGUGAAAACGGAGAGUUCUACAGUUACUCCAACCUCACCAGGUGAAAUUCGCACUUACAUAUGGAAAAUCCCAGAAAGAUCUGGAGCUGGAAUAGGUGAUUCUGCUUGUAUUCCAUGGGCUUACUAUUCAACUGUGGAUCGGGUUAAGGAUCUCUACAGUGGAUUAAUUGGUCCACUGAUUGUUUGUCGGAAAUCUUACUUGAAAGUAUUCAAUCCCAUAAAGAAACCGGAAUUUUCCCUUCUGUUUCUUGUUUUUGAUGAGAAUGAAUCUUGGUACUUAGAUGACAACAUCAAAACAUAUUCUGACCACCCUGAGAAAGUAGACAAAGCCAAUGAUGAAUUCAUAGAAAGCAAUAAAAUGCAUGCUAUUAAUGGAAGAAUGUUUGGGAACCUGCAAGGCCUCACAAUGCACGUGGGAGAUGAAGUCAACUGGUAUCUGAUGGGAAUGGGCAACGAAAUAGACUUGCACUCAGUACAUUUCCAUGGCCACAGCUUCCAAUACCAGCACAGGGGCGUCUAUAGUUCUGACGUCUUUGACGUUUUCCCUGGGACAUACCAAACCUUAGAAAUGUCUCCAAGAACACCUGGAACCUGGUUACUCCACUGCCAUGUGACUGACCACAUUCACGCUGGAAUGGAAACUACUUACACCGUUCUACCAAAUGCAGCAUCUCCUCAGACUCACAGGAGGAUAUGGAACAUGAACUAUCCAUUUACAGUCAGUGUCAUUAUUUUAUUGCAAAUAUCUACCAAGGAAUGGCUCGGAGAAUAAGAUCCCUCACCCUCAGCUGACUCCGUGGGGCUGGAAUCCAUAGAAUUCUCUGUCUUCUCCACCUACACAAUCACACCUGUGGCUCUAAGAGAGGUGGCUGGCAAGGAGCAAAGAUUCCCAGAAAGAAGAUACCCUUUUUAAACUUUCAAAUGGAUUUUAAAAGAUCACUGAAUUACACUUUUAAAGCAGAGAUUAUAAACAGGCUUUGAAGCUUUAUCAGAUCCUCUGAUGUUCUCAACGGUACAGUGUCAGGAGGCUGCCUCUUGGAUAAUCUCCAGAUGUACUGUGAUGUAAGCUUGAAAAAGAGUUCCUGUAGCACCACAUCGGGGAGGCAUGCUACCAGCUGAGCUUCCCAGAGGUCUACUAAGAGCUGAGGAAUUGUAUCUCCAUCCUUACCACAAAGCACCUUGAGAACAGUGAGACAAGCCACCAUAUCUCAGAUAAAUACAGUACUGAUCAAGUUACAGCUGGUCUGAAUAGCACUCCAUCACGUGGGCCAUAUAGUCAAUAAUUUAUCAUUAGCAUCAGCAUCAAGGCAAAAGUGAAUUUAGACAUUGUAACAGGAAACACACUCCAGGUCACAUUAACAGAAUUUUUCCAGAUACAUUCUUCUAAUCUGUACUUUUGUAAAUGGUUCUGCGUCUGUUUUCUCAAUAAACAAAUGAAAACUCA